GAAAAGCACUCUGAAGAGAGAGUCAAAAGACCGUGAAACCGCUCAGAGUAUAAGCCAAUGGAGCUUGGAAGGCUUCCGCAGUGUCGGCCAUCACAUGUGGUGUGUCGUGAGGCAUGUAGCACGGUUCGUUAGGCGGAGCAUUGAGUUUGCCGACCAGCUGUCGUGCGGGGACUCGGUUUGGGGGUCUUAGGCUUCGGCCGAAGGGCUCCUGGCCGUUUCCUUUUGAAUGAGCGUUCAGAGCUACUGUGUCCUAAUGCGGUUGUGCCCACCACGGCACGUUGUGAGGUCACCCACAGGCUCAAACUGCCGAUCGCGUAUCCAGGACGAUGGCAACGAUGCGUUGUUCGCAGCUCGAUCUCUAGUGGAGCUGUGUUACGCGUGUCUAGUCCUGGGUCGGGCGGCGACCGAGAUAAACCUGGUAUGAUCCUCUUGCGACGAGCUGCUUUCUGGCCAGACCGACGUCCAGGCGCUUCCACUGUGCCGGAAGCGUCAAUCCCAGGCGGUAUGAACCCAGCUGCAUUCUGCAAGGUCUCUCAGCCGGGCGUUGGUCUGAGUGGUGUUAAGUCCAGCACCAUCGGUCACGUCUCGAAACACGGGCCAAGGAGUAUAGCAUGUGUGCAAGUCUAAGGGUCUCACAAAACCCGAAGGCGAAGUGAAAGCAAGACUGUGGCGGGGGAGCUACGGCGAACCCGCCAGCCUUGUGGCGCACACACACCUCGUGUGUGUGUGGUUGCUCGGCUUUUAGCAGAGCUGAUCCUGCUUAUCGGUUAAUUCUUGGUGCAGGCGCAAGCUCCGGGCUCACCUACAACACUGGUCACCUCGUGUGGCUGUGUUGUGAGCACCGUGGAGCAUGCAUGCUAUGACCCGAAAGAUAGUGAACUAUGCCUGGCGAGGGCGAAGCCCCAGGAAACUGGGGUGGAGGCCCGUAGCCGUUGUGACGUGCAAAUCCAUGGUAUCAGCUGGGCAUAGGGGCGAAAGACCAAUCGAACUAUCUAGUAGCU
rnacentral:rRNA from 1 species